rnacentral:rRNA from 1 species
UACGUAGGGGGCUAGCGUUGUCCGGAAUCAUUGGGCGUAAAGAGCUCGUAGGCGGCUUGGCAAGUCGGGUGUGAAACCUCCAGGCUCAACCUGGAGACACCACUCGAGACUGCUAUGGCUAGAGUCCGGUAGGGGACCACGGAAUUCCUGGUGUAGCGGUGAAAUGCGCAGAUAUCAGGAGGAACACCGGUGGCGAAGGCGGUGGUCUGGGCCGGCACUGACGCUGAGGAGCGAAAGCGUGGAUAGCAAACAGG